CACAAACUUCAGCUACUGCAUAUCUACGAGUACAGGCCAAGCUUGUCUGCAAUCUGGAAUAAGCAUUCGACCGGAUAAAGCGUCAAUACCAGCGAAACGCCCCCGCUUUGCUGACAAACAACCUGGCGGAUCUAGGGAUACUCUAGUUCUUGCUUCUGAUAAUCGAAAAACGCAGCGAGCAAAUCAAAAGACUAGAUUACAAUACAACGAAGAAAGAAUUGCUGAAGAAGCUCAUGAAAGUGAAAUCGAGUUUACUUUAUUAAGAGUCUGCCUAAUAGGUAGCUUA